ensembl:lncRNA
GCACCACUUCGUCUUAAUAAAAGUCGGACCGGGCGAGUCGCCGGGCGCUUUGUGGGCCGCGUGGAGGAAGUGGGAAGCCGGCAUUCUCAGAGGAAUCGUGCAAAGCUCCUGCGGCAAAUAGAAUGUGGCUGUGGUGCGAUGGGGAACAGGAGCGCCCACAAGCCUCCUGAUUACCCACUUUGUCACGCUGAGAGAAAAGAUGCUGCUUUGUGCUCAAAUGAACCCGUUCUGUGCGACAAGAAUCCUUAUUUUUGUGUCUUUUUUUAGGUGACUUCACACCAAAAGGAAACAAUAACAUUAUAUUGUGUUUCUGCCAAUAGAUCCUUUUAAUUCUUGGUGGAUCUGCAGUACCACUCUUUUCUCACUAUGGCAUCGUGGCUCGCUGUGAUACUGUGAAAUAAAGCCUUUACUAAACCAUAAACCUUUUUAAACAGUCCGUCUCCAACGGUCUAUUCCGAGUGUUGAAACGAACAGGAAAGCUAAAGAAUACCGUUACAUGACGUAUAAUAGUGGUUGUAAUAGUUCCCUUUUCACUGUACACGAUUACAUUUUAAUUAUCCAUCACACAUCAGCAUAAGUCCCCAAAACAUUUCACAGAGGCACGACUCGGGAAUUAAACACAGCCUUAUUAGACACCGAGACCUCGGAGUAUGUGCAAUCAUGAUCCCUGAAAGCAGUUAUUAGUACAAUUUAGUCUGAUGAGCUAUUAACGCACGUCAAUGGAGAUGAUUGCCGAGAUGAACAUUUCCUCGCCACCUGCUGCAUUUGAUUAUCUCCCGCAGAGCGGCGGAAACGCCGUCCUGAACCUCAAAAUCAAAGUCUCCAUCCGAAAACUUUUUCGCAGGGUACGCGCGACGAAGCAGAGACGCGUUUGUCCAAACGCUUUGCUGUGUUUUUCUCGACAACGUUUUCAAAUUGGUCGUGGUGGGGUUUUUUUUUUUUCGGUGAUGGAGACCAUUGUGAAAUUUAAUGAGGCCAUUUUCUACUCAUCCUAUCUGGCUGCGGCAGCUGAGUGAUGGAGCGUCAUGCGUGAACAAGGUUGAUUAAUUGGGAGGAGUAGCAUUCAAAGCAAGAGCAUGAUAACUAGUGCAGCGAGUGAGAGAUUUAAAAAAAAAAAAAUAGCAGCAGCGGCCCCCUAUUUUCUGAGAUUAUCAUGAAGAGAAAGACGAUUUCGGGGACAGCAGCAGCGGCCACGGGGUCAGGAUGAAAUAACAGGAGGGGGCGAAGAAGAAGAAGCUGUGAGCCGCAAAUCACUCCUUAAAAGCCCCCAUUGUCUUCUCUGUGAUGUUCGGGGGGGAGGCGACAUCAGAGAGGUGCGGAGGACUCGGAGGACGGGUGAUAAUGGUAGAAAUGAACGGGAGAGCUCUCCAUUCUCUGGCGCGGUGGAUAAUGGCCUUUCAAGCAACCUCCCGUCACCAGUAUGUAUAGCUUUGCCUCUUACCGAUUCCAUUACGUCGCACUCACGGCCGCCGUCCAGAACGCCCUUCUGCCGAUACUUAAACACCUCUCCACCAAGCUGUGAAUGCGCACGAAGCAAGAAAGGUUCCUGCAGCAGCUCUCAGGUGACCGUGAGAUGUGGUGAACGCCCCACUUCAGCCCCCCCCCCCCCCGGACAUUAUUAACGGAAGCGCAAACACGAGAAAGCUUCACAUCCGGGAGAGUUCAGGGCUUUUUGUGACGCCGAAGCAGACGAGUAAGUUCAUUAGAAGUUUUUGCCAAUUAUGAAAUCCGAGUACGUCGUGUUGUGCCGAUCACGUGGAAACAAAAUUCCACGCGGCCUUUUCAACACCCAAUGGUUCCCACGUUGACGCGACGUGGGCUGCAAUUAGCAUCCGGGUGAUGGGGAGUCGUUGCUGUACACCAACAGUAGCUUUGGCAUGAGGCUACUGUUUAAUAAUAAAAAGGUAAAUACUACCAGGACCAACAGGAAAGACAAGCAGCUGCAGAAACUGUGUCUCUGUGUCCGCUGAUCUCCGUUUCAGCACUCUGGACAGCGCCGCACCCACAGAUACGCGCACACAAACGCACACUGGGCUGUCCAAGAAAUACAAAACAACAGGACAUCUGUAGCAACGUCCUUCUGUCGUUUGGUUUUUAAAAAAUAGAAAUAAGCUUUAGAAAAACCAUGGCGUGACAAUCUGUGCACAAUGGAGAGGAGCAAUAACGUCCCACCGCAUGAAUUCCUAGUCGAGGACGUCCCCGCUAGCUGCUCAACAUAGUGCGGCCUUGAGCGGACCCAUAUUUCCCCGGGGGGGCCGGUGGAGGCCAAAGGCAGACUCAAAGAAUAACACAUUCCGGACCGAAUUCCGCGUGCACCACAUCUCUACUUUGGACCCGAAGCGAUCAAAGAGUCACUCUGCACCAUCUGCAUUAUUUUUAAGUCAUCAGCAUGUUAAGGAACAGGAUGCAAGCAGCUCUGUGGGUGGAGGG